UACGUAGGGUGCAAGCGUUAAUCGGAAUUACUGGGCGUAAAGCGUACGCAGGCGGUUAUGUAAGACAGGUGUGAAAUCCCAGGGCUUAACCUUGGAACUGCAUUUGUGACUGCAUAGCUAGAGUACGGUAGAGGGGGAUGGAAUUCCGCGUGUAGCAGUGAAAUGCGUAGAUAUGCGGAGGAACACCGAUGGCGAAGGCAAUCCCCUGGACCUGUACUGACGCUCAUGCACGAAAGCGUGGGGAGCAAACAGG
rnacentral:rRNA from 1 species